GCUCAUGGCAGGGCAGAAAGAACAACAUCUUGUCUGCUUGUGCAUGAGUGCAAAGCCUGGGGGUCACGAGGUCCUGUUUACCUGUGGCAGGUAUUUCCUCUAUGGGCUGAUAAGAGCCGACCAGGGGAAGUGCUCCGUCACAGCACUCUGCAAUAGGCAAUCCCACCCACAGACCCCUAAUGCUGCCCGCCCGUGUCAGAGUUUGAAAUGGAGUAGAGCAGGUGGGGCACAACGGAUGGAUGGAGACUGUGCAUGUUUAUUUUCACUCUGUCCUUCCUCUUCCUCCAUUACCUGAGCUCUGGGUGCUCCACUUGCCCUCAGGUGUUGAGAGGAGGCGGUGAGCCUGAACAUGUUAACAAGGGAGGAUCCCACAGUUGUAUUGAGAGACAGGCUGCACCGCUGAAUGGAGCUUUCAGCAAGGAGUGUGGAACAGACCGCAAGACAAUCCUCUCUUUUUACUGCCAUAGAAAUAAAGAGUGACAUUAAUGACCAACAAAAGAUUAGUCAGUGCGGUUUUUAUGUGUUUGCUGUACAUCCUAAUUUGGUCACGGUCCAUUUCUUUAAUUGGUAAUGAAUAAUUUGAAUAGACCUGGACAUAUAUGUAAUUAAAUAGCCAUUUACAAUAUCCUGUGUCUGGAGUAAAAGUACAUAUUUAUGCUAAUUUUCUAUGCAGACCAAUUAUUUUGUAUGUGACCAGACGUCCUUCAUUUUUCAGAAAUGUCCCCAUUUUAUACUGUGUGUUUAAAACUAACAUGUGCUAGAUAUUGCACAUUUUAGAUAUUGUUUAGC
ensembl:lncRNA